AGUGAACGCUGGCGGUAGGCCUAACACAUGCAAGUCGAACGGCAGCACAGUAAGAUCUUGCUCUUACGGGUGGCGAGUGGCGGACGGGUGAGGAAUACAUCGGAAUCUACUUUUUCGUGGGGGAUAACGUAGGGAAACUUACGCUAAUACCUCAUACGACCUACGGGUGAAAGCAGUGGAUCUUCGGACCUUUCGCGAUUGAAUGAGCCGAUGUCGGAUUAGCUAGUUGGCGGGGUAAAGGCCCACCAAGGCGACGAUCCGUAGCUGGUCUGAGAGGAUGAUCAGCCACACUGGAACUGAGACACGGCCCAGACUCCUACGGGAGGCAGCAGUGGGGAAUAUUGGACAAUGGGCGCAAGCCUGAUCCAGCCAUACCGCGUGGGUGAAGAAGGCCUUCGGGUUGUAAAGCCCUUUUGUUGGGAAAGAAAAGCAGCAGGUUAAUACCCCGCUGUUCUGACGGUACCCAAAGAAUAAGCACCGGCUAACUUCGUG
rnacentral:rRNA from 1 species